rfam:Parcubacteria bacterium GW2011_GWB1_48_6 TY30_C0005, whole genome shotgun sequence.
CUGUUCGCCAUUUAAAAAGUUACGCGAGCUGGGUUCAGACCGUCGUGAGACAGGUUGGACUCCUAUCUACUGCAGGCGUUCGAUUCUUGAGGGGAUUUGCUCCUAGUAAAUUUUGCUACUUCAACGAGAAAUCGUUGAUGACAAAGUGGCUAAUAACGGUGAAAUCUUGUGAAGAUUUGGUCUGUUGAUAACUACUGUCGGCCUAGUCCGUAGACAGUAGUACAAUGGUAAGUAUGAAAACUUACUUGAGGACCAGAGAUAAACAAGACAAUACCGUGGGAAGUCGACCGAAAGGUUUGACCCCGUAACGACUUGUUCCUGACGAUACGUCGGAACAGACUUGCAUGUAGAGGAAUCGUUUCUUUGAAAACGACUGCUCAUGCGGGUAAUACGCCAACAUCCUAAUCCCGCCACGGUAGGAAAGGAUGAAGAUAUAGUCUGCGCUCCUGGUGACAGGGGAAUUACGCGACGAGAGGACCGGAGUGAACUGACCGCUGGUGUGCCUGCUGUCUUGCCAAGGGCAUCGCAGGGUAGCUAUGUCGGGAAUGGAUAAAUUCUGAAAGCAUCUAAGAAUGAAGCCAACCCCAAGAUUAGGAAUCGUUAUUAGGGCCCUGGGAGAUGACCAGGUUGAUAGGCGCUAGGUGUAAGUCCCGCAAGGGAUUGAGCCGAGGCGUACUAAUUGCCCGAAUCUUAUUAGGAA